UCAUUGGGAGUGGUAGUCGACCUUACGAGGGCUAUUGAGUGUCGAUAGACGAUCAUCCACUCUCAGCAUCAUGAGAGGAAUAUCCCAUGUGUUCUUGCUCAGACAAAUCCCUGGCCAGGGUCAUUCGGGUUGAGAGAGAAAGAGUUCUCCGGGAGAAUCCGAUUAGAGCGAGACUCGAGUAGAAACCGUAUGGGUCUGACAGCACCAUGCUCGAUAUACGAUCUCUGGGAUAUUAGAUGGAUGAGGAACUAUAGGUACACGGUAACUGAGGAC
rnacentral:lncRNA from 1 species